rnacentral:rRNA from 1 species
UACGUAGGGGGCAAGCGUUGUCCGGAAUCAUUGGGCGUAAAGCGCGUGUAGGCGGCUUGGUAAGUCUGCUCUGAAAGCCCGGGGCUCAACCCCGGGAGGCGGGUGGAUACUGUCAAGCUCGAGUCCGGAAGAGGAGUGUGGAAUUCCUGGUGUAGCGGUGAAAUGCGCAGAUAUCAGGAGGAACACCGAAGGCGAAGGCAGUGUCCUGGGGAGUACCUGACGCUCAGGUGCGAAAGCCAGGGGAGCGAACGGG